UUGGAACAAACUGACACUACAGCCAUCCGUUGCAAAACCCUCAAAACUAAAUCACACUCCUAAUACUUACGCUGAUUCAGUCGCGUCGCGUAUAUAAUAUUCACGAGGAGAUUUCUGGUCUCUACAUUUCGCGCUACUUGCGGCGAUAACUACCGGGCGGUUGUGUACACUGCCUGCAAUCGAGAUUUACGAUUGACCGAAUCGUAAACCUGCCUCCACCGCGAUCAGAUACGAUUCUUGAUCGUAUAAGCCGAGUUCCGAGUCAGUGUCGGCGAAAUUUCGUACGAUUACGGCAUUAAUUCUGGUCGCCGCAACUCCACGAAGCGAGGGAGCGAGCGAUUCGCCGGUAUCUCUUAAUGCCACCUCGAGGCGCUCCACCUCGGAUACUCAGAUCUCAUAUUUGUAUCGCGCCAAGUUCCGAAAUUUCGAGAGAUACAUGCCUGAUCCACCCUUAGUGAGACUUGGCUGAUCUUAGUUCACCCUAGGCGCUUUCUCCGUGCUUAACUGUUUCAAAUGGGGCGCAUUGGUUAACCGGUGAAACUAUUAUCGCUGAUGUGGUAUUGUUGCAGAUGAGAUGCUACAAAAAUGUAUAAUGAUGUUACAUAGUAGCUAAAUGUGAUUGAUUAACACGUGUGUUAAGUUUAAUUUAACGAAAUCUAAUAACUAAUCUAGAAAUUAAUUAUUCUUUUCAUUUAGUUUGCGGCUAAAUGGCAGUUAUAGUAUUGGAGGAUCCGGUUCGGGCAAAGCAGAAUCGGCUCGAAGAUCUAAAUGCCGAAAUGCAGACAACUGAUUCUGAGUUGCGACGGGUUUGGUGAGUGAAAAAUGUAAAAAUAUUUAAUACGGUGGUGGCUUUCUUGCUUUGUUCAAAGUGCGAUUUACUUUUCUUUGGAGUAGACACUUUUAUACGUAGAUUUUACAUAUAUGUAUAAACAUGAAUCGUUGAAUGAAGAAUUGUAUGAAUCGUAACUUUUUGAUUUAACUUUCGUUUAAAUGUACUUGUAUCUUUCUACAUAAGAAACAUUUGAAAAAUUCAAUUGUUUUAAUAGAAUAUUUAUUUGAUAAUUUUGUAAAAAA